CAGAAUGUAGCUCGCUGGAAAGAGUUCUUAGCUGUUAAUUAAGUAGUUGCGGGAUCAAGGCCCGUCAUUCUAG
rnacentral:tRNA from 1 species